CAGUGGGCCAUAAACAAAGGCCGACUGCGGAGCUGAGCAGAUUCCAGGCUGGCCAUCUGGAACACCUGCAGCUGGCCCAGUGUGGGGCCGUGCGCCAGUCCAAACGGCCCAGCUGGAGAAUUCUCUGCCUCUGCCACCGCCGCCAUUGGCAAGAAAGCAUCACCGUCCUCGCUGGCUGUCAGCGCUUUCUCUAUUGGUCAGAAACCGAAAAGUGGGCCCCAGGACCGUGUGCAUCAGCAUGCCCGGAUAGGUCCCCAGAGAACAGAGCUCAAGCCUCGUCCUCCAACACCAGAGGUGCCAGAUGGUCAUUACGGGGCAGCUCAACCUAUGACCUACAGUGGAGUGGUUAGUGCUGGGCUGUAUCUUCUGUUCCAGGAUAUUCAGAUGACCCAAGCCAUCCCACUUUCACAAACUGACCACUUUGUGACCAUGAGUAAACUUUGACAGCGGAAGCCACACACCGGGGAAGGUAAAGUGGGAAGAUGGGAGGA
ensembl:lincRNA